CAGCACCUCAAGUGGUCAGGAGGAUUAUUGGGGCCUAAAGCAUCCGUAGCCGGCUGCACAAGUCUUCGGUUAAAUUCAUAUGCUCAACAUAUGGGGCUGCCGGAGAUACUGUGCAGCUAGGGAGUGGGAGAGGUGGACGGUACUCGAUAGGAACGGGGUUAAAAUCCUUUGAUCUAUUGAUGACCACCUGUGGCGAAGGCGGUCCGCUAGAACACGUCCGACGGUGAGGGAUGAAAGCUCGGGGGAGCAAACCGGAUUAGAUACCCGGGUAGUCCCAGCUGUAAACUAUGCAAACUCAGUGAUGCAUUGGCUUGUGGCCAGUGCAGUGCCGCAGGGAAGCCGUUAAGCUUGCCGCCUGGGAAGUACGUACGCAAAGUAUG
rnacentral:rRNA from 1 species